UACGAAGGGGGCUAGCGUUGCUCGGAAUGACUGGGCGUAAAGGGCGCGUAGGCGGUUUAGACAGUCAGUUGUGAAAUCUCCGGGCUUAACUCGGAAAGGUCAACUGAUACUGUGCGACUAGAGUGCAGAAGGGGCAACUGGAAUUCUCGGUGUAGCGGUGAAAUGCGUAGAUAUCGAGAGGAACACCUGCGGCGAAGGCGGGUUGCUGGGCUGACACUGACGCUGAUGCGCGAAAGCCAGGGGAGCGAACGGG
rnacentral:rRNA from 1 species